rnacentral:rRNA from 1 species
AUAGAACCAUUGCUGCGGUUAAAAAGCUCGUAGUUGGAUCUGUGCCGGCGACGUGGUCCGCCCUAACCGGCGGUACUGCGCUCGUCGGCUUUGGGCCGGUCUUCGGUCGGUCACCUUCACUGGUGGCCGCUCGUGGCUGGCUGGUUUACUUUGAGCAAAUCAGAGUGCUCAGCACAGGCGUCUCGCCGGAAUGGUCGUGCAUGGAAUAAUAGAAAAGGAUUUCGGUUCUCUUUUAUUGGUUUUGUGAACUGAGAUAAUGGUUAACAGAGACGGACGGGGCAUUCGUAUUGCGGCGUGAGAGGUGAAAUUCUUGGACCGCAGCAGGACGGACUACAG